AUUGAACGCUGGCGGCAGGCUUAACACAUGCAAGUCGAGCGAGCGGCGGACGGGUGAGUAAUGUCUGGGAAACUGCCUGAUGGAGGGGGAUAACUACUGGAACCGGUAGCUAAUACCGCAUACCAUCAGAUGUGCCCAGAUGGGAUUAGCUAGUAGGUGGGGUAAUGGCUCACCUAGGCGACGAUCCCUAGCUGGUCUGAGAGGGUGACCAGCGACACUGGAACUGAGACACGGGCCAGACGCCUACGGGAGGCAGCAGUGGGGAAUAGUGCACAAGGGGCGCAAGCCUGAUGCAGCCAGGCCGCGUGUGUGAAGAAGGCCUUCGGAUUGUAAAGCACUGUCAGCGAGGAGGCGUUACUCGCAGAAGAAGCACCGGCUAACUCCGUGCCAGCAGCCGCGGUAAUAC
rnacentral:rRNA from 1 species